AAAGAAAGCUUGUCUUUUCUUUGCUGGCGACCGGCGCGACGGGUGAAGUAACUACGUACUCCAACCUCGUCCCUUUACGUCGGGGAUAGUCCUUUACGAAAGAAAGAUUAAUACCCGAUAGUAUAAUGAUUCCGCAUGGUUUCAUUAUUAAAGGAUUCCGGUAAAGGAUGGGGAUGCGUUCCAUUAGGUUGUUGGUGAGGUAACGGCUCACCAAGCCUUCGAUGGAUAGGGGUUCUGAGAGGAAGGUCCCCCACAUUGGAACUGAGACACGGUCCAAACUCCUACGGGAGGCAGCAGUGAGGAAUAUUGGUCAAUGGGCGAGAGCCUGAACCAGCCAAGUAGCGUGAAGGAUGACUGCCCUAUGGGUUGUAAACUUCUUUAUAAAGGAAUAAAGUCGGGUAUGGAUACCCGUUUGCAUGUACUUUAUGAAUAAGGAUCGGCUAACUCCGUG
rnacentral:rRNA from 1 species